GUGCGGGGCUGGAGGACUGAGUUGGGGGGCUGGAGGACUGAGUUGGGGGGCUGGAGGACUCGGGUGGGGGGCUGGCGGACUUCCGUGUUGGUCUGGAGGACUUGGGCUUGGGACUGGAGGACUGAGUUGGGGGGCUGGAGGACUGAGGUGGGGGGCUGGAGGACUUGGAAGUGGGGCUGGAGGACUGAGUGGGGGGCUGGAGGACUGAGGUGGGGGGCUGGAGGACUUGGAAGUGGGGCUGGAGGACUGAGUUGGGGGGCUGGAGGACUGAGUUGGGGGGCUGGAGGACUUGGAUGUGGGGCUGGAGGACUGAGUUGUGGGGUUGGAGGACUUGGAAGUGGGGCUGGAGGACUGAGAUGUGGGGCUGGAGGACUGAGUUGUGGGGCUGGAGGACCAACUUUUGGGUCUGGAGGACCUUGCUAUGAGGCUGGAGGACCUAGUUGUGGGGCUGGAGGACCUCACUAUGGGACUGGAGGACUGAGUUG
ensembl:lncRNA